rfam:Brachypodium distachyon strain Bd21 chromosome 5, whole genome shotgun sequence.
CACGUACUUUCUCGGUCCAACAAAAAAUAUUUCAAGUUUGUCAAAAUUUAGAUGUAUCUAAACAUGACUUAGUGUAUAGAUGCAUUCAAAUUUAAUCAAAAUUGAGACAUCCUUUGUUGGACGGAGGAAGCAUGAU